GAAAGAGACUGAGAAGAACAUGUCCCUGAGGAAGUUGUGGAAGUGAUCUUUCUACCAUACUAUUCUGUAUUGCAAGCAGAUCUUGAUGGAAUAUUAUAGACUGUUAUUUCCAAUGUGUGCCAAUCAAGAAUCCUUUAGAUCUAUUUGGAAACAGGUUAUUGGUUCUGCUUUUUUGGACGUCAAUGGGUCCUGUUUGUAUUGACAUUAUCCAGAAAUGCAUCUGCCCA
rnacentral:misc_RNA from 1 species